ensembl:lncRNA LOC103691053 uncharacterized LOC103691053
CAGCUCGCGGCAUCCCUGUGUGCUAGAUGUUGUGGAACAGUUGAAGAACACUUCUGGUAGUGGGUGAGAAAAAGUGUGGAAUUUGUGGCCGCUUCAGAUUGUCCACAGCUGCUGUGAUUUGCCUCGUGCUCCGGCAUCGGUGUGAUUUUACCAGCUGCGGAGACUUUGUGGAUGGCCUGACAUUUGGACUUCUGGGGACUUUUCAGAAUGCUGGGGCCCCAAGAGGGAUUCACUGCCCCCACCCUACCCCAAGAAGAAGGAGGAGGAAGAAGAUGAAGAGGAGGAAGAGAAAGGAAGCUAGCUUGUGACCAUUUUGUAUGGCUUGCCUGGAAACUUCUGUAAAUCUUAUGUUUUAAUAAAAAAAUUUUUUUGUUAUCCAAAAACGAAAAGAAAAAAUGGUCAAGUUCAUUUUGAGAAAGACUGGAUUCCAGGACAGCCAGGGUUACACAGAGCUAUCCCGUUUAAAACCAAAACCCAAUAAAACAAAACCAAAGAGAACUCCAUGAGAAAGACUGGAACUGGAAGACUCACACUGACUCCCAUCAAUCAUGAAGCUACGCCUUUGGAACAGCUCUGAUCACACAGUAUCAGGCAGAAUGACCCACAGGAGCAUCUGGGGACGCAGAGGCCAGGAAAAGAUGAACACACGGAUUUGUCAUACAAGUGUGACAGAAUUCAGUACUGAAAGGGCAGUGAACUGGAUGUCCGUAUGACCUCACACUGAUGCAAAGUUAGCCGAAACGGACCAGUCGUCGAUGAGAAACUUCAAAGGCAGCAGGGACAAAUGGACAAACAAAACCCAGAUCAGCUGCCAAGCCCCAUGUCCAGCAACUCACACCCAUCUGUAACCACAACUCCACAGGACCCGAGGACUGGCAGUGUGGCACCUGCUCGUGAUCGAUCAUAUGCAUGGAGACAGACACAUAUACAUAACUUCAAUUUGUAAAGCUUUCUGCAAAGCAUAGCCCUACUCUAUAACCCAGGAAUAGAUAUUUAUGGAUCUAAAUGCACUGUUAUAUUACAUAGAAAACAGUAUGACACACUCAUAGCCGUCUUCUUCAUAAAUCACCAAAUCUAGAAAUCCAAACAUUACCCAAGUAGUGAAAGAGUAUAUGGUCGUGGCAUAGCCACACAAAGGAAUGCUGUUCAGCAGCAAAGGAAUGAGAGGGGGUGAACUCAGUGUAGAACGUUUGCUUAGUAUGUGAAACUUGGGGUUCCAUCCCUAGUUACCCUCCCCCAAAAGACACAUAAACAACAACAUAGAUGAACUAAAGAACUCCACAAAGUGAAAACCUUAGAUUCAAAAGGCCACUUACUACAGGACUCCAUUUACAUCUUGGAAGAGGUAAACUAUUAGAAAGAAGCCAGAUCAGUGUUUGCUAUGGGUAAGAACGGGGACUAGAGAGGCUCUGGAGAAAGUCCUGGAGCUGUUCAAAAGCCUAACUGUGCCGGCUGGCCGGCAGCAUUUUUCAAAACUUAGAAUGACAUAUAAAAAUCAGUUCCGGGGUUGGGGAUUUAGCUCAGUGGUAGAGCACUUGCCUAGCAAGCGCGAGUCCCUGGGUUCGGGCCCCAGCUCCGGAAAAAAAAAAAAAAAAAAAAAAAAAAAGAAAAAGAAAAAUAAUUGUUUGGGGCUGGCAGGAUGGCUCAGUGGUUAAGAGUACUGGCUGCUCUUCCAGAGGUCCUGAGUUCAAUUCCCAGCAACCACAUGGUGGCUCACAACCAUCUGUACUGGGAUCCAAUGCCCUCUUCUGGUAUGUCUGAAAACAGCUACAGUGUACUUACAUAUAAUAAAUUUAAAAAAAUCAAUUCCACUGUAAAUAAAUUAUUCAUUUAGAGUUAUUUUAAAUGGCAGAAGUUCUCUUGGUCUGUCAAAAAGAGUCCUUUAUUGUGAGGGGGUGUGGUGCACCUCUUUACUCAACAUUUGGGAGGCAGACAAAUUCGAGUUCCAGGCCAGCCAGAGACACAGUGAGACCCAACCUCCCGCCCAAUUCUUCAAUUACCUUUUCAUUUAAGGGGUUGGAUUACGUGCGCCAUGGCGCAGGUCAGAGGACAACCUAGGGGAGUCAACCCUCUCCACCAUGUGAGUGCUGGGACGGACAGAACUCAGGUCAUCCAGCAGCAGGAACCUUUCCUUCCCCACCAAGCCAAUCUCAGCAGCCCCAUUUGGUUUCUGUGAGACAAGGCCCAGGCUGGCCUCAGAUUCACUAUGUAGUCAGUGUUGGUCUUGAACCCCUGAUCCUGCCUCCUGAGAGCUGAGAUUAUAAGGGUAGGUGGGCAUCCAUGUUUGGGUAGAACUUACCGUAUGUAGAAGUUUCUCUGAGAACUUUUAUUAUAAAAACUAGAUGGAAAUUUCUGUUAAAUGUCUCCUGCAUCUAUUGA